rnacentral:rRNA from 1 species
ACGAACGCUGGCGGCGUGGAUAAGACAUGCAAGUCGAGCGCUGAUUACGGGGGUAGCAAUAUUCCGUAGUCGGAGCGGCGCAAGGGUGCGUAACACGUGGGUAAUCUGCCAUGAAGUCUGGAAUAACUUGCUGAAAGGCGAGCUAAUGCCGGAUGUGAACAUUGGGCGGCAUCGUUUGAUGUUCAAAGUUGGGGACCGUAAGGCCUGACGCUUCAUGAUGAGCCCGCGGCCUAUCAGCUAGUUGGUGAGGUAACGGCUCACCAAGGCUAAGACGGGUAGCUGGUCUGAGAGGACGACCAGCCACACUGGAACUGAGACACGGUCCAGACACCUACGGGUGGCAGCAGUCGAGAAUUUUUCACAAUGGGGGAAACCCUGAUGGAGCGACGCCGCGUGGGGGAUGAAUGGCUUCGGCCCGUAAACCCCUGUCAUUCGGGAUCAAUGCCUAUUAUUUAAAAGAUGAUAGGUUGAUAGUACCGGAAGAGGAAGGGACGGCUAACUCUGUGCCAGCAGCCGCGGUAAUACAGAGGUCCCAAGCGUUGUUCGGAUUUACUGGGCGUAAAGGGUUCGUAGGCGGUGUGGCAAGUCGGGAGUGAAAUCUCCAGGCUCAACUUGGAGGCUGCUUCCGAAACUGCCGCGCUAGAGUGCGAGAGAGGCCAGUGGAAUCGCAGGUGUAGCGGUGAAAUGCGUAGAUAUCUGCAGGAACACCCGUGGCGAAGGCGGCUGGCUGGAUCGCAACUGACGCUGAGGAACGAAAGCUAGGGGAGCAAGCAGGAUUAGAUACCCUGGUAGUCCUAGCCCUAAACGAUCAGGACUUGGGGUGCAUCCCGACGGGGUGCGUCCCGUAGCUAACGCGUUAAGUCCUGCGCCUGGGGAGUACGGUCGCAAGACUGAAACUCAAAGGAAUUGACGGGGGCCCGCACAAGCGGUGGGACAUGUGGUUCAAUUCGACGCAACGCGAAGAACCUUACCUGGGCUUGAACUGCUACUGACCAGCGGUGGAAACAUCGCCUUCCCGCAAGGGACAGUAGUAGAGGUGCUGCAUGGCUGUCGUCAGCUCGUGCCGUGAGGUGUUGGGUUAAGUCCCGCAACGAGCGCAACCCUUACUCUUAGUUGCCACCCGCAAGGGGGAACUCUAAGAGGACUGCUCCGGAUAACGGAGAGGAAGGUGGGGAUGACGUCAAGUCAGCACGGCCUUUAUGUCCAGGGCUACACACGUGUUACAAUGCACGGUACAGACUGUUGCGAACCCGCGAGGGGGAGCCAAUCGGAAAAACCGUGCUCAGUUCGGAUUGCAGUCUGCAACUCGACUGCAUGAAGCUGGAAUCGCUAGUAAUGGCGUAUCAGAACGACGCCGUGAAUACGUUCCCGGGCCUUGUACACACCGCCCGUCACAUCACGAAAGUGGGCUGUACUAGAAGUCGCCAUGCUAACCGCAAGGAAGCCAGCGCCCAAGGUAUGGCUCAUGAUUGGGGUG